rnacentral:ncRNA from 1 species
CUACGGACUUAAAUAAUUGAGCCUUGGCAAAGAAAUUUGUCAAGUGACUGCUCUCAAACUCAGGGAAACCUAAAUCUGAUAUCCAGAUACGGCAAUCCUGAGCCAAGCCGAAAAGUAGGCAAUGCGAAAGUGAGUCUAGAAUUAUUAUCACUUCUACUCACUAUUUUUCGGAAGGUGCAGAGACUCGACGGGAGCUACCCUAACGUUUAGCCGAGGGUAAAGAGAGAGUCCAAUUCUCAAAG